ensembl:snRNA U6 U6 spliceosomal RNA
GUGCUUUCUAAGGCAACAUUUAUCUAAAUUGGAAUUAUACAGAAACAUUUAGCAUGGCCCUUGUGCAAGGGUGACAUAGGGAUUCAUGAUCAUUAAAUGUUUUCC